GACGAACGCUGGCGGCGUGCUUAACACAUGCAAGUCGAACGGAAAGGCCCUGCUUUUGUGGGGUGCUCGAGUGGCGAACGGGUGAGUAACACGCGAGUAACCUGCCCUUGACUUUGGGAUAACUUCAGGAAACUGGGGCUAAUACCGGAUAGGAGCUCCUGCUGCAUGGUGGGGGUUGGAAAGUUUCGGCGGUUGGGGAUGGACUCGCGGCUUAUCAGCUUGUUGGUGGGGUAGUGGCUUACCAAGGCUUUGACGGGUAGCCGGCCUGAGAGGGUGACCGGCCACAUUGGGACUGAGAUACGGCCCGGACUCCUACGGGAGGCAGCAGUGGGGAAUAUUGCACAAUGGGCGGAAGCCUGAUGCAGCAACGCCGCGUGCGGGAUGACGGCCUUCGGGUUGUAAACCGCUUUCGCCUGUGACGAAGCGUGAGUGACGGUAAUGGGUAAAGAAGCACCGGCUAACUACGUG
rnacentral:rRNA from 1 species